CAGGCUUCGAAAGCACCCCACAAGCAAAAGCUCCUCGAUACACCUGCUGGCUCAACGCAAGCGCAAAAAAAUUCUGUCCCCGUCCAGCACUCACCACCCGCCAAGGACUCAAGCAGCUAGUUCUCAUCCAGCUAUCGAAUUGUGCAAUCCUAUGCCGGAAAAUCCUUACGAAUGUUUUGUGACGGUAUUAUUUUUGGUGCCGCAAUUUUCGGGAUCGACGAAACUAGAGGUUCGUACGUGACAAUAUCUUUGGUUCGAGAACAUUGAUAUAUAGAAUCGAACACUUCGUUAUGGGAAUUAUUUUCCGACUGAAAGACACCCAAGGACAAAGACGAAUUUCCGGCCAAUAAAAACGUGACGAGAUGACUCGUCAUUUUUUUCACUUUUUCUACGAUUUUUCUUGAAAUCGUAAUUUCUGGUUUUUAUCUGAUAGUCGCUAUUAAUACUUUGUAGAAUACUUCGGAAAACGAGGUUUCAAAUAAAACAUUUUUAAUUUCCUCCA